rnacentral:pre_miRNA from 1 species
ACUGGAGGAGGGGUCCCUCAGCCCAGAUUACGAGAGGGCACAGGCCAGGCCGAGGGACCUCACCGGUGCAUG